CUGUGGCUGCAUUUUGGAGUAAAAAUGCAGCCACAAAUGCAGUCUUUUGGACUAUGGGGAAAAAGGCUUUUCUACCUUGUCUCCCGGAGUUAGCCAUGGCUGUAAGCUGCUUACUACUAACUGCUAAAGUAGUGGCUCCGCCUCACCCCGUAGUAAUCCUUUAUAUACAGAACAGAAACCGCUAAGCUAAAAACUAAUUACGAAGUGAAUGCUACCAGUUGAAAUUUGCAUCAAUUUCGUGAUUUCACUGCUUUUGCAGCUGCUCCGUUCGCGCCGCUACUCCUUUCCGCUUCUCCGUUCCGCUUCUCUUUCACGGUUACU